rnacentral:rRNA from 1 species
GAUGAACGCUGGCGGCGUGCUUAACACAUGCAAGUCGAACGAACCUUCGGGUUAGUGGCGGACGGGUGAGUAACGCGUGGGAACCUGCCCUCAGGAGGGGGAUAACGGCUGGAAACGGCCGCUAAUACCCCAUAUGCCGAGAGGUGAAAUGAAUUUCGCCUGAGGAUGGGCCCGCGUCUGAUUAGCUAGUUGGUGGGGUAAAGGCCUACCAAGGCGACGAUCAGUAGCUGGUCUGAGAGGAUGAUCAGCCACACUGGGACUGAGACACGGCCCAGACUCCUACGGGAGGCAGCAGUGGGGAAUUUUCCGCAAUGGGCGAAAGCCUGACGGAGCAACGCCGCGUGUGGGAUGAAGGCCUCUGGGCUGUAAACCUCUUUUCUCAAGGAAGAAGAUCUGACGGUACUUGAGGAAUAAGCCACGGCUAAUUCCGUGCCAGCAGCCGCGGUAAUACGGGAGUGGCAAGCGUUAUCCGGAAUUAUUGGGCGUAAAGCGUCCGCAGGCGGCCUUACAAGUCUGUCGUUAAAGCGUGGAGCUUAACUCCAUUUCAGCGAUGGAAACUGUAAGGCUAGAGUGUGGUAGGGGCAGAGGGAAUUCCCGGUGUAGUGGUGAAAUGCGUAGAUAUCGGGAAGAACACCAGUGGCGAAGGCGCUCUGCUGGGCCAUAACUGACGCUCAUGGACGAAAGCCAGGGGAGCGAAAGGGAUUAGAUACCCCUGUAGCCCUGGCCGUAAACGAUGAACACUAGGUGUCGGGGGAUCGACCCCUCGGUGUCGUAGCCAACGCGUUAAGUGUUCCGCCUGGGAGUACGCACGCAGUGUGAAACUCAAGGAUUGACGGGGCCGCACAGCGGUGGAGUAUGUGGUUAUUCGAUGCAACGCGAAGAACCUUACCAGGGUUUGACAUCCUGCGAAUCCCUUGAAACGAGGGAGUGCCUUCGGGAGCGCAGAGACAGGUGGUGCAUGGCUGUCGUCAGCUCGUGUCGUGAGAUGUUGGGUUAAGUCCCGCAACGAGCGCAACCCACGUCGUUAGUUGCCAGCAUUCAGUUGGGCACUCUAGCGAGACCGCCGGUGAUAAACCGGAGGAAGGUGUGGAUGACGUCAAGUCAUCAUGCCCCUUACAUCCUGGGCUACACACGUACUACAAUGCUACGGACAAAGGGCAGCAAGCUCGCGAGAGUUAGCAAAUCCCAUAAACCGUGGCUCAGUUCAGAUCGUAGGCUGCAACUCGCCUACGUGAAGGAGGAAUCGCUAGUAAUCGCAGGUCAGCAUACUGCGGUGAAUACGUUCCCGGGCCUUGUACACACCGCCCGUCACACCAUGGAAGUUGGCCACGCCCGAAGUCGUUACUCCAACCCUUGUGGAGGAGGACGCCGAAGGUGGGGCUGAUGACUGGGGUG